rnacentral:lncRNA from 1 species
GGAACCUAAACUCCAAUAACGGCAAGAAGUUCGUGACAUUAUUGGGCAGAACGGGAGAAAAGAGGAGAGUGAGAGAAGGUGAAUCCGAGCGGGACGGGCGCUCCCGAAAGGGAACUGCGGAGGAGAAAGGGAUCCGCACCCUGGAAAGUCUCCUACUGGGCGAAAGAUCAAAUGAACCGGAGGAAUCCCCAGAUGCAGAGAAGAGUGUAGCAGUAAGUCGGAGUACGGAAAAACGGAUCAAGAACCCAACGGACCAUCUGAACUACGGGCACAGUCACCAAAAAUUGAGACGCCUGGGUGGGGGCUGGGCACCGAAUCCUCGGCUCCAGAGGUUAGUCCCCGGGAAAGGGCCGAGGGACGCCAGGGUGGGGCUGGGCACCGAGACCUCGGCUCCAGAGGUUAGUCCCGGGCUAGGGGGCGGGGAAGAGCGGAAACUGCUUGGGAGGUCUCUAAACCAUUUGACGGGGCAGAGACUGCCUGGGAGACUAGAAAACAAAGCUGUCGCAGAGGAAGGGAGCAAUACUCUAGGGGCGGGGAAGUGGAAAGCCGCCUCAGAGGGAACCUGGGAGAAGAGCCUGGUCUGCACCCAUGCUGGGGAGCGGAGAGAAGAAGGGGUGGGUUCCCAUAAAAUACCCCCACGCCACAGCAAGCUUACAGGCCCGCUAGCUAGCAGAAAGCUGUGCUUCCCAGUGCAUUCCCUCCCCCCACCCCCGCCACCCCCUAUGCUCUCGCAGAACCUGGGGCUGCCUGCCAUCCAGGAGGGCUGGCCUCAACAAUUGCCUGAAGCCUACCACCGCAGGGGCUCUCCCUGCACAGGCCUGCUUGCCCUUUGGAGGGGCUACACUUCCACAGAGCAGCACCAAACACCACCAGCCCCCUAGAAAAGGCCUGCAGCCCAGAAAAGCUAGAACAAGCCUAGCCAGGCCGUGAAUAGAUCGACCUAAUUCUCCGACGGUUUUUCUGAGACGGGCUCCCCCGGGGAGGAGCCUCUUGGGUCUCCAAGGGCCUUGCUACCCACCCAAGACCCCAGGGGGUGCUAAGACCUAGU